GGAGAGGUGACCGAGCGGCCGAAGGUGCAGCACUGGAAAUGCUGUGUAUAAGAAAUUGUACCGAGGGUUCGAAUCCCUCCCUCUCCG
rnacentral:tRNA from 1 species